rnacentral:rRNA from 1 species
UACGAAGGUCCCAAGCGUUAUCCGGAUUUAUUGGGUUUAAAGGGUGCGUAGGCGGGUUACUAAGUCAGUGGUGAAAGCCUUCAGCUUAACUGAAGAAUUGCCAUUGAUACUGAUGAUCUUGAGUAUGAUUGAGGUGGGCGGAAUGUGUCAUGUAGCGGUGAAAUGCUUAGAUAUGACACAGAACACCGAUUGCGAAGGCAGCUCACUAAGUCAUAACUGACGCUGAUGCACGAAAGCGUGGGGGAGCAAACAGG